ACACACACACACACACAUACACACACACACUCCAUGUAAAAUACAUUCACAUAUACAUAUACACACACGAAAAAUACAUCUACUUUAAAUAAAUUUAUAUUCUUCAAAAAUAGUCUCAGAUACAUCAAACUCUGAAGUGAUAAUGUCGGGGUACACCAGAGACACAGGUAACCAUGUCACCAGUCUGAAGACAUUUGUCAUACUUGGCCCUUGUUAUGCCUAGAAUCAUACUUAUUAGUGUAACAGCUAGGAAUCUAAUAUAAUUUGUUUGGAAUUAAAGUAAGGAGCCCCAAGGAAAAGGCAUCUUGUAGAUUUAUAUGGGAAAAUAAAGAUUACAAACAUUCCCCAUGCAGUUGAAAGACAAACUCUAAGCAGGGCGGCCCAGUUGAUAAAAAUGCAUUUGAGGAGCUCUGCAGUGUUCAUGAAGUAACAGAUGAUAAAAUGUCCCUCUUAAUUUAGAAAGAGACAUGAAAUGGGUAAUUUAUCAUGGAUUUUUGUUUAAUUGUUUUUGCUCGUGAAUAUAGGAGUGAUAUUUUUUUUCUUUUUCUUUUUGGUUUUUUUUUGAGACAGUGUUUCUCUGUGUAGCCCUGGCUGCCCUGGAACUCACUUUGUAGACCAGGCUGGCCUUGAACUCAGAAAUCUGCCUGCCUCUGCCUCCCAAGUGCUGGAAUUAAAGGCGUGCGCCACCACCGCCUGGCCAAGAGUGAUUUUUUUAAAAACAAAAUAUUGUUAAGAUCUAGCUCUGCAUAUUCCUGUGUAGGGUAUAAGACCUUGAAAGGUGUCACUUAGGUGUAUGGGGUGAAUUGGAGGGAUAUAUCCACGUGUACUGAGCUAUGUGUGCGCCCAUUGAGACUAUCAGUUGACAGUGGGUGUCUUUAUUAGUAGCUUUCCACCUGAUUUAUUGAGACUGGGUCUCACUAAAGCUGAAGUUUGCUAAAUAGGGCAGACUGGCUGGUCAUAGAGCCCUAGGAAUGACGCUGUCUCUACAUUCAGGUGCUGGAGCCAAAGGUGCAUGCUCUGCCAUGUCCAGCUUUUACGUGGACACUGGAUUCUAACUCUGCUUCUAAAGUGUGCACCGCACUGAGCCAACUCCUAGCCCUCAAGAACUAGUUUUCUUUCCUCCCAGUUUUCCACAGCUUCCCUUGCUCAGAGACCUGAGGCAGUUUUUUGGUUUCCACUUUUACCCAAAGGCCUAAGAAAUGUAUAUUUGAGUCUCUCAGGAAGAGAAAGUACAAAGUAGUUUUUUUUUUUUUUCCUCCAGAGAUUGUACUGUGCCUCAGUAUGUAUUGCAUGUACAAGUUGACCUCAUAAAUAACUCUGGAGAAAUAAUCUGGGUCUAUGAUCACAAAGAAGUGAGUAUAUUUGCUCAGUUGUUGAUAGAGGACACCUAAGGUGUCAGAGCAGAACCUACUAGGUUGACUGGAGGCUUGGUUGAGGAUACAGAGUGUGGCUGAGUUCCUGGGCAGACACCAUCCAAGGUGAUCUAUGUGGACCCACACCUCCUUUCUUCUCAAGCAACACUUUCUCUGGAUACCCCCAAUAAUGGUAAACCAUAGAUGUGGACUCCAUGGUGAAACUCCAAGAUUUUCUCCACAUGAGAUGUGCUGUCUAAGUUGUCAAGAAUCCUGCAAGCUUCCAGCCCUGGGAUUUAGCAAUCAUCACAUUAUAAUACAGUGGUAAGGGAUCUUACAGAACCCUCAGACACAUAAAAUCAGUUUAUAAGUAUUAAUCUAUGUUUUUGUCAGUCACCAGGUAGGUCAAUAGAAGCCAAAGAGAAACUUUAGAUACACAAAACCACUCAGAGUUGACAGUGGCAGUUUCCUAUCUUGAAAGCAGCUACUAUCUUCCUAAACCUCCUUGGCUUGAAAUCCCGACUCCUUAGCUGCCUCUUGGCCUGAACAUUCCAGAGGCAAUAAAACAGCACUCGGGCAGGCAGUGGGCUGCAGAGGGAGGUCAGAGUCCUGGGCCACUUUCAAAAGGUUUUCCAGGAAACCAUUCUAUUGACUAAUGUUUAAGUUUGCCCAGGAGUUUUGAGCACAGCAUGGUACAAAAAAAAAAAAAAAAAUCAGUCUCAGGACAUUAACAAGGGCAGAGCAAUCAUAUUGAGGUUAAAAUCCCUAUGAAGGGAAACUGCACUGUCUGGUACUGAGCCUUCUGUGUCUUCCGGAAGGUGAGACUCACUGGCUAAUCAGGAGCCCAAUGUUUUAAUCUAGACCAACUCCCUUGAGUUAUCUGACUCUGCAGUAUCACCUUUGAUCCAGUGAGGGGAUGGAGAGGUGGCUCAGUGAAUAGGGUGCUUGUCUAUUCUGCAUGAAGUCCUGGGGUCUAGUCCCAGCACCACAUACAUCUGAUGGAGUGAUGUUUGCCUGCAAACCCACAGGAGGCAAAGGCCAGAAGAUUGUGAUAAGUCUUAGCUAUACAGUGAGUUUCAAGCCAGUCUAGGUGGUAUGGGUCUGGUGUCAAAAGAAUAAUGGAAGAGG
rnacentral:lncRNA from 1 species